AACGAACGCUGGCGGCAUGCCUAACACAUGCAAGUCGAACGAGACCUUCGGGUCUAGUGGCGCAUGGGUGCGUAACGCGUGGGAACCUGCCCUUAGGUUCGGAAUAACUCCCCGAAAGGGGUGCUAAUACCGGAUAAUGUCUUCGGACCAAAGAUUUAUUGCCUUUGGAUGGGCCCGCGUUGGAUUAGCUAGUUGGUAGGGUAAAAGCCUACCAAGGCGACGAUCCAUAGCUGGUCUGAGAGGAUGAUCAGCCACACUGGGACUGAGACACGGCCCAGACUCCUACGGGAGGCAGCAGUGGGGAAUAUUGGACAAUGGGCGAAAGCCUGAUCCAGCAAUGCCGCGUGAGUGAUGAAGGCCUUAGGGUUGUAAAGCUCUUUUACCCGGGAUGAUAAUGACAGUACCGGGAGAAUAAGCUCCGGCUAACUCCGUG
rnacentral:rRNA from 1 species